GACAGAGGAUGCAAGCGUUAUCCGGAAUGAUUGGGCGUAAAGCGUCUGUAGGUGGCUUUUUAAGUCCGCCGUCAAAUCCCAGGGCUCAACCCUGGACAGGCGGUGGAAACUACCAAGCUGGAGUACGGUAGGGGCAGGAGGGAAUUUCCGGUGGAGCGGUGAAAUGCGCAGAGUAUCAGGAAGAACACCCGUGGCUAAGGCGGUUCUCUAGUACGGUACUGACGCCUGAGACGCGAAAGCGUGGGGAGCGAACAGG
rnacentral:rRNA from 1 species